rnacentral:rRNA from 1 species
CCUACGGGGGGCAGCAGUGGGGAAUAUUGCACAAUGGGGGAAACCCUGAUGCAGCGACGCCGCGUGAGUGAAGAAGUAUUUCGUUAUGUAAAGCUCUAUCAGCAGGGAAGAAAAUGACGGUACCUGACUAAGAAGCCCCGGCUAACUACGUGCCAGCAGCCGCGGUAAUACGUAGGGGGCAAGCGUUAUCCGGAUUUACUGGGUGUAAAGGGGGCGUAGACGGCAGUGCAAGUCUGGAGUGAAAGGCGGGGGCUCAACCCCCGGACUGCUCUGGAAACUGCACGGCUGGAGUGCAUGAGGGGUAAGUGGAAUUCCUAGUGUAGCGGUGAAAUGCGUAGAUAUUAGGAGGAACACCAGUGGCGAAGGCGGCCUACUGGACUGUAACUGACGUUGAGGCUCGAAGGCGUGGGGAGCAAACAGGAUUAGAUACCCUAGUAGUC